rnacentral:rRNA from 1 species
AACGAACGCUGGCGGCGUGCCUAACACAUGCAAGUCGUGCAAGAAAGUUCCUUCGGGAGCGAGUAAAGCGGCGCACGGGUGAGUAACACGUAGGUAACCUGCCCCCCGGUCUGGAACAACUAGAGGAAACUCUAGCUAAUGCCGGAUGAGACCACGAUCCCUUCGGGGGUUGCGGCCAAAGAUGGCCUCUACUUGUAAGCUAUCGCUGAGGGAUGGGCCUGCGGGCCAUUAGCUUGUUGGUGAGGUAACGGCUCACCAAGGCUGUGAUGGCUAGCUGGUCUGAGAGGAUGACCAGCCACACUGGGACUGAGACACGGCCCAGACUCCUACGGGAGGCAGCAGUGGGGAAUAUUGCGCAAUGGGCGAAAGCCUGACGCAGCGACGCCGCGUGGGUGAUGAAGGCC